GAGCGCGACCGACGCGGAGCUUGCUCCCUUAGAGUCAGCGGCGGACGGGUGAGUAACACGUGGGUAACCUGCCUGUAAGACUGGGAUAACUCCGGGAAACCGGGGCUAAUACCGGAUGCUUGAUUGAACCGCAUGGUUCAAUCAUAAAAGGUGGCUUUUAGCUACCACUUGCAGAUGGACCCGCGGCGCAUUAGCUAGUUGGUGAGGUAACGGCUCACCAAGGCGACGAUGCGUAGCCGACCUGAGAGGGUGAUCGGCCACACUGGGACUGAGACACGGCCCAGACUCCUACGGGAGGCAGCAGUAGGGAAUCUUCCGCAAUGGACGAAAGUCUGACGGAGCAACGCCGCGUGAGUGAUGAAGGUUUUCGGAUCGUAAAACUCUGUUGUUAGGGAAGAACAAGUACCGUUCGAAUAGGGCGGCACCUUGACGGUACCUAACCAGAAAGCCACGGCUAACUACGUGCCAGCAGCCGCGGUAAUACGUAGGUGGCAAGCGUUGUCCGGAAUUAUUGGGCGUAAAGCGCGCGCAGGCGGUUUCUUAAGUCUGAUGUGAAAGCCCCCGGCUCAACCGGGGAGGGUCAUUGGAAACUGGGGAACUUGAGUGCAGAAGAGGAGAGUGGAAUUCCACGUGUAGCGGUGAAAUGCGUAGAGAUGUGGAGGAACACCAGUGGCGAAGGCGACUCUCUGGUCUGUAACUGACGCUGAGGCGCGAAAGCGUGGGGAGCGAACAGGAUUAGAUACCCUGGUAGUCCACGCCGUAAACGAUGAGUGCUAAGUGUUAGAGGGUUUCCGCCCUUUAGUGCUGCAGCAAACGCAUUAAGCACUCCGCCUGGGGAGUACGGUCGCAAGACUGAAACUCAAAGGAAUUGACGGGGGCCCGCACAAGCGGUGGAGCAUGUGGUUUAAUUCGAAGCAACGCGAAGAACCUUACCAGUCUUGACAUCCUCUGACAACCCUAGAGAUAGGGCUUCCCCUUUCGGGGCAGAAUGACAGGUGGGCAUGGUGUCGUCAGCUC
rnacentral:rRNA from 1 species